GCCACCGGUCCACGCGGUGCUCGCACCUCUACUGGUCUCCCGGGUCACCGCACAAAGGCAGCCUGGCCAUGGGACCACAGAAGACUCUGCUGCGCCCCAACGAAAAGCCCAGCUAGACCUGAAGAUGAGUGAUCCCGAGGUACUGGAUGUGCUAAGAGGCCUGCGGCGUGGAGAGUCUUCUGGGAACCUUGGAGUUCACACGGAAGAUUGGCGCACCACUACUCAGCUAUUAAAAUCAAUGAUUCCAUGAAAUUCAUAGGCAAAUGGAUGGAACUUGAAAAUAUCAUCCUGAGUGAGGUAACCC
rnacentral:lncRNA from 1 species